CAGUAGCCGCGGUAAUACGUAGGGUGCGAGCGUUAAUCGGAAUUACUGGGCGUAAGGCGUGCGCAGGCGGUUGUGUAAGACAGGUGUGAAAUCCCCGGGCUUAACCUGGGAACUGCGCUUGUGACUGCACAGCUAGAGUAUGGCAGAGGGGGGUGGAAUUCCACGUGUAGCAGUGAAAUGCGUAGAGAUGUGGAGGAACACCGAUGGCGAAGGCAGCCCCCUGGGCCAAUACUGACGCUCAUGCACGAAAGCGUGGGGAGCAAACAGGAUUAGAUACCCCCGUAGUCCCUGUCUCUUAUAC
rnacentral:rRNA from 1 species